CGAGCGAAUGGAUUGAGAGCUUGCUCUCAAGAAGUUAGCGGCGGACGGGUGAGUAACACGUGGGUAACCUGCCCAUAAGACUGGGAUAACUCCGGGAAACCGGGGCUAAUACCGGAUAACAUUUUGAACUGCAUGGUUCGAAAUUGAAAGGCGGCUUCGGCUGUCACUUAUGGAUGGACCCGCGUCGCAUUAGCUAGUUGGUGAGGUAACGGCUCACCAAGGCAACGAUGCGUAGCCGACCUGAGAGGGUGAUCGGCCACACUGGGACUGAGACACGGCCCAGACUCCUACGGGAGGCAGCAGUAGGGAAUCUUCCGCAAUGGACGAAAGUCUGACGGAGCAACGCCGCGUGAGUGAUGAAGGCUUUCGGGUCGUAAAACUCUGUUGUUAGGGAAGAACAAGUGCUAGUUGAAUAAGCUGGCACCUUGACGGUACCUAACCAGAAAGCCACGGCUAACUACGUGCCAGCAGCCGCGGUAAUACGUAGGUGGCAAGCGUUAUCCGGAAUUAUUGGGCGUAAAGCGCGCGCAGGUGGUUUCUUAAGUCUGAUGUGAAAGCCCACGGCUCAACCGUGGAGGGUCAUUGGAAACUGGGAGACUUGAGUGCAGAAGAGGAAAGUGGAAUUCCAUGUGUAGCGGUGAAAUGCGUAGAGAUAUGGAGGAACACCAGUGGCGAAGGCGACUUUCUGGUCUGUAACUGACACUGAGGCGCGAAA
rnacentral:rRNA from 2 species